rnacentral:rRNA from 1 species
GACGUAGCGCGCGAGCGUUGUCCGGAUUUAUUGGGCGUAAAGAGCUCGUAGGCGGCUUGUUACGUCGACUGUGAAAACCCGCGGCUCAACUGCGGGCCUGCAGUCGAUACGGGCAGGCUAGAGUUCGGUAGGGGAGACUGGAAUUCCUGGUGUAGCGGUGAAAUGCGCAGAUAUCAGGAGGAACACCGGUGGCGAAGGCGGGUCUCUGGGCCGAUACUGACGCUGAGGAGCGAAAGCGUGGGGAGCGAACAGG